AUUGAACGCUGGCAGCAGGCCUAACACAUGCAAGUCGAGCGAGCGGCGGACGGGUGAGUAAUUUCUGGGGAUCUGCCCGAUAGCGGGGGAUAACUACUGGAAACGGUAGCUAAUACCGCAUACUCUCGGAUGACCACAUAUGGGAUUCGCUAGUAGGUUGGGUAAAGGCUCACCUAGUCGACUAUCUCUAGCUGGUCUGAGAGGAUGAUCAGCCAAACUGGGACUGAGACACGGCCCAGACUCCUACGGGAGGCAGCAGGGGGGAAUAUUGCACAAUGGGAGCAAGCCUGAUGCAGCCAUGCCGCGUGUAUGAAGAAGGCCUUAGGGUUGUAAAGUACUUUCAGCGGGGAGGCGUUACCCGCAGAAGAAGCACCGGCUAACUCCGUGCCAGCAGCCGCGGUAAUAC
rnacentral:rRNA from 1 species